UGGCUCUCGCAUCGAUGAAGAACGCAGCGAAAUGCGAUAAGUAAUGUGAAUUGCAGAAUUCAGUGAAUCAUCGAAUCUUUGAACGCACCUUGCGCCCCUCGGCUAUUCCUUGGGGCAUGCCUGUUUGAGUAUCAUGAACACCUCAACUCUCAUGGUUUGCCAUGAAGAGCUUGGACUCUGGGGGUUUGCUGGCCAUUCAGUCGGCUCCUCUCAAAUGAAUCAGCUUGCCAGUGUUUGGUGGCGUCGCAGGUGUGAUAACUAUCUACGCUUGUUGUUGCCUGCCAUUAACCUUCGUCACUGAAGGUUCGCUGGAGCUUACAAACGUCUCUCCUCAGCGAAGACAGCUUUUGAACGUUCGAUCUCAAAUCAGGUAGGACUACCCGCUGA
rnacentral:misc_RNA from 1 species